rnacentral:rRNA from 1 species
UACGUAGGGGGCAAGCGUUUGUCCGGAUUUAUUGGGCGUAAAGAGCUCGUAGGUGGUUUGGUAAGUCGGAUGUGAAAUCUCCAGGCUCAACCUGGAGGGGUCAUUCGAUACUGCCAUGACUAGAGGUCGGUAGGGGAGUGUGGAAUUCCUGGUGGAGCGGUGAAAUGACGCAGAUAUCAGGAAGAACACCCGUGGCGAAGGCGGCUCUCUGGGACGGUACUGACGCUGAGACGCGAAAGCGUGGGGGAGCGAACAGG